CAGUCGCCACGGUAAAACGAAGGGGGCUAGCGUUACUCGGAAUUACUGGGCGUAAAGGGCGCGUAGGCGGCACGAUUAGUCAGGCGUGAAAUUCCUGGGCUCAACCUGGGGACUGCGCUUGAUACGGUCGAGCUAGAGGAUGGAAGAGGGUUGUGGAAUUCCCAGUGUAGAGGUGAAAUUCGUAGAUAUUGGGAAGAACACCGGUGGCGAAGGCGGCAACCUGGUCCAUUACUGACGCUGAGGCGCGACAGCGUGGGGAGCAAACAGGAUUAGAUACCCCGUAGUCCCUGUCUCUUAUACA
rnacentral:rRNA from 1 species